AGGAGUCUGUCUCUGAGGGGAGACCACCCUCUCCUGCACCCACCUGUGUGUCUAUGAAGAGCGAUCAGUCCAAGGCUUCAGGCAUUAAUUUCAAAGGACCAGACUCUUCACCCAAACAGAUGGAGGAGUCUGUCUCUGAGGGGAGACCUCCCUCUCCUGCACCCACCUGUGUGUCCAUGAAGAGUUAUCAGUCCAAGACUUCAGGAAUUAAUUUCAAAGGACCAGACUCUUCACCCAAACAGAUGGAGGAGUCUGAGGGGAGACCACCCUCUCCUGCACCCACCUGUGUGUCUAUGAAGAGCGAUCAGUCUAAGGCUUCAGGCAUCAAUUUCAAAGGACCAGACUCUUCAC